rnacentral:rRNA from 1 species
GACGAACGCUGGCGGCGUGCUUACACAUGCAAGUCGUACGGUAAGGCCCUUUCGGGGGUACACGAGUGGCGAACGGGUGAGUAACACGUGAGUAACCUGCCCACAACUUUGGGAUAACGCUAGGAAACUGGUGCUAAUACUGGAUAUGUGCUCCUGCUGCAUGGUGGGGGUUGGAAAGCUCCGGCGGUUGUGGAUGGACUCGCGGCCUAUCAGCUUGUUGGUGGGGUAGUGGCCUACCAAGGCGGCGACGGGUAGCCGGCCUGAGAGGGUGACCGGCCACAUUGGGACUGAGAUACGGCCCAGACUCCUACGGGAGGCAGCAGUGGGGAAUAUUGCACAAUGGGCGCAAGCCUGAUGCAGCAACGCCGCGUGCGGGAUGACGGCCUUCGGGUUGUAAACCGCUUUCAGCAGGGACGAAGCUUUUUGUGACGGUACCUGCAGAAGAAGCACCGGCUAACUACGUG